GUGUUAAAUUGAUGCAAAUACAAAAACCCUUGCAUAAACCCUCCAAAAAAAUACACUGAUUCAACAACAGCAGCCAUGGCCGAACAACAAAACUCCCAACUCUCAUCUCUUCGUGCUCUCGAGCUUCGUCUCUUACGUUGCUCUAUUCCAUCCUCAUCAUCUUCUUCUUCCCAUCAAUCCACACCCACUACUUCUUUUUCUCAUCUCCACACUCUUAUUGAACAAGUUCUGCAAUUCAUCGAAUCGGGUCAAUACACACAAGCACUCUCAUCUGAUGGAGCUAAAGCUAUUUUCACCUCACAACAACUGAAUCACAAGCUCAACGAUUCUUCCGAGUCUGCUGAAUCUUUUUACUCAGAAUUUGUGCCUCAGUGUGUUACUCUGUUCGUAAAUGCAAAUGGGAUUGAAAAAUCUGUUCCUAAUAGUGUUGAGAAGUUGUAUAAAGCUGUUCUUGUUAUGGCUGUUGCUGUUGCGGCUCUUCUUGGUUUUACUCAGUGUAAUAUUACUGGGCCAACGGUGAAGCUGCCACCAAUGCCUUUAGGUGCAAUAGUUUUUGGUGAAGAAGAGAUAAAGACUGGUUCUGGUGGAUGCUCAGAAUGGGAAGUGUGGGCGCAAAAGGAGUUAAUGUCAGUUGGUUCCGACUUGCGUGCUAAGUUUUCGAAUUUGCAGUAUAUAACCUUUGCCAAGAUACUGCUUAUGAGGACGAAAGAUCUUUUGUCAGAAGGAAUCAACUCGGGGGUUGAUGGAGCCAGAAGCAUCUCGUGGUGGUUAGCUAGGCUGUUAAUCAUCCAACAAAAGUUGUUAGAUGAUCGCUCGUCUUCUUUGUUUGAUCUAUUGCAAGUCUUCAUGCGUGAAAGUUUGCAACAUAUUGGUUCUCUGGAGAAAACAAGAUAUUAUUGGGCUUCUCUGAUAUCAGAAGAGGAUGCUUCUGCUAUUGUAUCUAUGCUUCAUUUGGAGGCAGGAAUAAUGGAACUUACCUAUGGGCGAGUGGAUGCUUCCAGGGUCCAUUUUGAAUCAGCUGCAGCAACAUCCAGACUUAAUUUUUCGCUAAGUGGGGCUUUGGGCUUUCGCACUGUACACCAGGCGGAACCGAAAGCACAGCUUCUUCUUGUAGGUAGUGCGGAUGGUGAUGAUUCUAGUGCUUCACUUGGUAAUGAUUUCCAAAAUAAGGUUUCUACUCAAGGUGAAAAUGCUUUUCCUCAACGUCCCAGUGAAACUCAUGAAGCAUCUGACAUAUUGAUGACCCCUAGAUUCUUGGAGGAUGAUAAAAAGUUAGAAUGUAGCGCACAAGAUGCUCAAAAUCACAGCAUAGCCUCUAUGCAAUUAAAGCCUACUCAGCAAGCAAUAAUUUUAGCACAAUGUCUUUCUAUUGAGAAGAGAGCUCGGAGUGAUGAACUGCAAAGGUGGGAGAUGGCUCCUUACAUUGAGGCAAUUGAUUCCCAGCAGUCAUCACCUUUUACGCUACAACAUUUGUGUGGUAUAUUACGCAUUCGAUGGGAAUCAACUCGCGGCCGUACAAAGCAGCGUGCAUUGCUGAUGAUGGAUAAACUGGUUCAAGGCAUAAAUGAUCCUUCUCCUGGAGCUUCACAAAGGAUGCAUUGUUGUUUUGGAGUUAGCAUCCCUACGGUUCCUGCAUUGCGCAAGGAGUAUGGAGAUCUGCUAGUGAGCUGUGGUUUGAUAGGGGAAGCUGUUAAAGUGUAUGAGGAUCUUGAGCUUUGGGAUAACUUAAUAUACUGUUAUAGGCUAAUGGAGAAGAAAGCGGCAGCAGUUGAACUUAUCCAAGCUCGGUUAUCUGAAAGACCUUGUGACCCUAGGUUAUGGUGUUCCCUUGGAGAUGUUACAAGUGAUGAUAAAUGCUAUGAGAAAGCCCUAGAAGUGUCUGGGAAUAAGUCAGCUCGAGCACAGCGUGCCCUUGCCCGUAGUGCAUACAACAGGGGGGAGUACGAGAAGUCAAAAGAUCUAUGGGAAUCUGCAAUGGCAAUGAAUUCUAUGUAUCCAGAUGGAUGGUUUGCACUUGGUGCUGCUGCUUUAAAGGCUAGAGAUGUUGAGAAGGCACUGGAUGGCUUCACCCGUGCUGUUCAGCUUGAUCCUGAAAAUGGAGAGGCUUGGAAUAAUAUUGCUUGCCUGCAUAUGGUUAAGAAGAAAAACAAGGAAGCUUUUAUUGCAUUCAAGGAAGCAUUGAAGCUGAAGCGAGACAGCUGGCAGAUGUGGGAAAAUUUUAGCCGUGUUGCUGCAGAUAUUGGAAAUUUCAGUCAGGCACUGGAAGCAGUACAAAAGGUAUUGGAUAUGACGAAAAAGAAGCGAAUCGAUGUCGAAUUACUGGAGAGGAUGUUGCAAGAGUUGGAAUUACGGACUGCAACUAGCCAUUCUGAAUGCGAUGCUUUGAGGGGUAGCAGUGACUCUUCCGAGGCGGGCUCCGACAUCAUUAGUGUUGAUCCAUUGACCAGCUCGGACAAAGAUCUGGCAAUAGAACGGGAAACUGAGCACUUGAUUCAGUCAGUGGGUAAAAUCUUACGGCAGAUUGUUCAAACUGGUGGGAAUGCUGAGAUUUGGGGGCUCUAUGCGAGGUGGCAUAAACUCAAAGGAGAUCUUGCGAUGUGUUCAGAGGCUUUUCUUAAGCAAGUCCGAUCAUACCAGGGAUCUGACCUAUGGAAGGAUAAAGACCGGUUUUCAAAGUUUGCACAUGCCUCGUUGGAACUCUGCAAGGUUUACCAGGAAAUAGCUCGGCGUAAUGGUAGCCGUAGGGAGUUGUCUGCCGCCGAGAUGCACUUAAAAAACACAAUCAAGCAGGCCGAGGCUUUCUCCAACACCAAAGAGUAUCAAGAUAUCUUGGCAUGCCUUGAUGAGGUGAAGGCAGCACAAGCUACACCCUGAUCAUAUGCUUUCUUCCUGAGUCAUUUAUUCAAAAGGCGAAAUCGACAACUCCUGGACAGACAUAUCGGCUAAUACGACAUUUUUCUCUGCGCAAGAUAAAUGAAUAGCUCUUGUUUUCAGGGGAAAAAAGAAGGGAGGUCUUUCAUGUACCGCGGCAAAGACGUAAUGUCUACCAACAGGCCUGGAGUUGCCUAGUCAUUUAAGGAGUCUGCUACAUGUAUUAUUAUGAGUAUGGGAUCAGACAAAAUAAUAGGUGUGUGAAUACUUUCAUCAUCUUCACCACAGAAUGCACAUUCAAAAGGUACUUUACCCAGACAUUUGAAGUCUAUCCAUUGUUACAGGCCUUUGUUGAACAGACAGCCACAAAUUCAAUCUGAGAUGAGGAUGAAGUCAAUUUUGCAAGGUAAAUACUCUUCUUUUGCAACUGAUUCAGUCUUUGAUUGCGAAAAACGAAAUUACGAUAGCUCAAGUUCAGUGAGCUUUAGGUAUUGUAUCUAGAAGAAGAAGGCUUUUUCUUUUGUACAGAAGUCAUUCACCAUUCCAAUUUGGAAUAGCAAGUGUAAGAGGAAGAAAAUGAUCCAUAAA